UUUUAGAAGUUCGUAACAAGGUUUCCGUAGGUGAACCUGCGGAAGGAUCAUUG
rnacentral:rRNA from 1 species